rnacentral:misc_RNA from 1 species
GCCACAGUUUACACCUAGGAGAGGUCAGUCCACACCAUCAGUGGGCAGCUCUCCAGGGAUGGGGUUCAGGGGACCAGCCCCAACAUCUUCUGCAUGUCCACACUGUCAGAAAUGGCAUAAGGGGGAGUGUUGGAGAGUGACUGGUGCCUGCUUGAGGUGUGGGUCAACAGAGCAUCAGUUGAAGAACUGUCCACGCAGAACUACUACAGCUGCUCCAACACAAGCAGACAGACCUGCUCCUGCACCACCAAGGGGUAGAAGGUCUGGUAAAUCCGAAGCGGUGGGACCAUCACAGAGGCCUGCAUCUGAGCCAGCAGAGAGGCCAGAUAACAGACCACCUGCCAGAAAUUAUGCCCUGAGAGCUCAGGAGGAGCAAGAUGCCCCGGACGUCAUCAGGGGUACUGGAGAUACGGAGCGCGAUCCCAGUAGACCCCAGUCAGGGUGAGAGUCAGAUCUGCUAGUGUCCUGUGUCACCUCUCAGCUGCAGUGCAUUGGUAGGAUGUUAGGCUACAUUUUGUAUUUUGUGUUUUGUAUCCUUGUAAAUUUUGUAAUUAAACUUUUAUUUUGUCAUGUAUAUUGAAACUUAUGUGAGUAUGUAUUAAUGAAAUUAUCUAUAAAUGGUGUUCAUAAAUAAAAGUUGAGUAUUUAUUUAUAAUUUGAGUAUAAAUAUGAUGUGAAUUGGAUGAUUGAAAAGUUUGAGAAAUUGAUGAGAAAUUGUUAAGAAUUGAUGACAUAUUUGGGAUUGUGGAUUGGAACAAGUAUUGGAAGUGUUUUUCACA